GACGAACGCUGGCGGCGUGCUUAACACAUGCAAGUCGAACGGAAAGGCCCUGCUUUUGUGGGGUGCUCGAGUGGCGAACGGGUGAGUAACACGUGAGUAACCUACCCUUGUCUUUGGGAUAACUUCAGGAAACUGGGGCUAAUACCGGAUAGGAGCUCCUGCUGCAUGGUGGGGGUUGGAAAGUUUCGGCGGUUGGGGAUGGACUCGCGGCUUAUCAGCUUGUUGGUGGGGUAGUGGCUUACCAAGGCUUUGACGGGUAGCCGGCCUGAGAGGGUGACCGGCCACAUUGGGACUGAGAUACGGCCCAGACUCCUACGGGAAGCAGCAGUGGGGAAUAUUGCACAAUGGGCGGAAGCCUGAUGCAGCAACGCCGCGUGCGGGAUGACGGCCUUCGGGUUGUAAACCGCUUUCGCCUGUGACGAAGCGUGAGUGACGGUAAUGGGUAAAGAAGCACCGGCUAACUACGUG
rnacentral:rRNA from 1 species